rnacentral:rRNA from 1 species
AAAACGACUCUCGGCAACGGAUAUCUCGGCUCUCGCAUCGAUGAAGAACGUAGCGAAAUGCGAUACUUGGUGUGAAUUGCAGAAUCCCGUGAACCAUCGAGUCUUUGAACGCAAGUUGCGCCCGAAGCCUUUAGGCGAGGGCACGCCUGCCUGGGCGUCACA